UCAGGACGAACGCUGGCGGCGUGCCUAAUACAUGCAAGUCGAGCGAACCACUUCGGUGGUUAGCGGCGGACGGGUGAGUAACACGUGGGCAACCUGCCUGUAAGACUGGGAUAACUUCGGGAAACCGGAGCUAAUACCGGAUAAUCCUUUUCCUCUCAUGAGGAAAAGCUGAAAGACGGUUUCGGCUGUCACUUACAGAUGGGCCCGCGGCGCAUUAGCUAGUUGGUGAGGUAACGGCUCACCAAGGCGACGAUGCGUAGCCGACCUGAGAGGGUGAUCGGCCACACUGGGACUGAGACACGGCCCAGACUCCUACGGGAGGCAGCAGUAGGGAAUCUUCCACAAUGGACGAAAGUCUGAUGGAGCAACGCCGCGUGAGCGAUGAAGGCCUUCGGGUCGUAAAGCUCUGUUGUUAGGGAAGAACAAGUACCGGAGU
rnacentral:rRNA from 1 species